GACGAACGCUGGCGGCGUGCUUAACACAUGCAAGUCGAACGAUGAACCCGGAGCUUGCUCCGGCGGAUUAGUGGCGAACGGGUGAGUAACACGUGAGUAACCUGCCCUUGACUCUGGGAUAACUGCUAGAAAUGGUAGCUAAUACCGGAUACGACCCUCGGUGGCAUCACCAGGGGGUGGAAAGAAUUUCGGUCAAGGAUGGACUCGCGGCCUAUCAGCUAGUUGGUGAGGUAACGGCUCACCAAGGCGACGACGGGUAGCCGGCCUGAGAGGGUGACCGGCAACCCUGGGACUGAGACACGGCCCAGACGCCUACGGGAGGCAGCAGUGGGGAAUAUUGCACAAUGGGCGCAAGCCUGAUGCAGCAACGCCGCGUGAGGGAUGACGGCCUUCGGGUUGUAAACCUCUCUUAGUAGGGAAGAAGCGAAAGUGACGGUACCUGCAGAAAAAGCACCGGCUAACUACGUGCCAGCCGCCGCCGUAA
rnacentral:rRNA from 1 species